rnacentral:misc_RNA from 1 species
GAUGAAGAACGUAGCGAAAUGCGAUAAGUAAUGUGAAUUGCAGAAUUCAGUGAAUCAUCGAAUCUUUGAACGCACAUUGCGCCCCCUGGUAUUCCGGGGGGCAUGCCUGUUCGAGCGUCAUUUCACCACUCAAGCCUCGCUUGGUAUUGGGCAACGCGGUCCGCCGCGUGCCUCAAAUCGACCGGCUGGGUCUUCUGUCCCCUAAGCGUUGUGGAAACUAUUCGCUAAAGGGUGUUCGGGAGGCUACGCCGUAAAACAACCCCAUUUCUAAGGUUGACCUCGGAUCAGGUAGGGAUACCCGCUGAACUAAAGCAUAUCAAUAAGCGGAGGA